UUUGAUUUACUAUGGAUAGUGGGCUGUACAAUUAACACACAUAGGUUAAUCACAAUGGAUUAUGUAUUAUUCCCCCCC